rnacentral:rRNA from 1 species
AGAGCGAACGCUGGCGGCAGGCCUAAUACAUGCAAGUCGAACGGAUCCUUCGGGAUUAGUGGCGGACGGGUGAGUAACACGUGGGAACGUGCCCUUUGGUUCAGAACAACUCAGGGAAACUUGAGCUAAUACUGGAUAAGCCCCUCCCUUUGACCAGGGUGGUGGGAAAGAUUUAUCGCCAUUGGAGCGGCCCGCGUCUGAUUAGCUAGUUGGUAGGGUAAAGGCCUACCAAGGCUACGAUCAGUAGCUGGUCUGAGAGGAUGAUCAGCCACACUGGGACUGAGACACGGCCCAGACUCCUACGGGAGGCAGCAGUAGGGAAUCUUGCGCAAUGGGCGAAAGCCUGACGCAGCCAUGCCGCGUGAAUGAUGAAGGUCUUAGGAUUGUAAAAUUCUUUCAGCGGGGACGAUAAUGACGGUACCGCAGAAGAAGCCCGGCUAACUUCGUGCCAGCAGCCGC